GCCGGCCCGGCUCUGUCCUCCAUGCUUGCGUAGACCUCGGGUUCCUGAUUCUGGCCCCGGCGGUGUCCGGGCUCUUCCGGGCGGGCCCUCGGAAGGGGCGAGGGAGCCACCGGUCCAAACGCCAGUGGCAGACCUCGGGGGUGGAGGGGGCUUUGUCCGAUGGGGUCGUGGAUCGGCCGAUGCACUUCGCAGGGCGCCCUGCAGACACGGCAACAAUAUCCUAGUUCCCUCGGUGACGGGAUUCUGCACUUGGAGUUGACCGUUCUGUUGAAGUGGUAGGGCCAACGGAAAGGUGGUUUCUGCACCCAGAGUCAACGUGGCCCCGUAGGAGCUUGGAAGCUGACCAAUGAUGUGUCGCUCUUUACGAGACUCCAAUGAACACCUCAGUUUCUGAGAACCAAUCUCCCAGGGUUGCUAUCCUGCAAUGCUGACUCUUGAAAAGUAGUGCUGCGUUCAAAGUCUCUGUGUUAGGUACGAUAGGAAACAGCUUGGGAACCGGUCAUGUCGUUUUUGAAGUCUGGCCAAUCAUUCGUAUGUGUAUAAUAGUCUUUUUUUAAAAAGUGAUUUCUCGAUGGAUGUGGUGGCCCACACAUUUAAUUCCUGCAUUUGGGAGGCAGAGGCAGGUAUGCGGGUCUUUGUGAGUUCGAGGCCAGCCUGGUCUACAAAAUGAGUCCCAAGAGAGCCACAGCUGUUACACAGAGAAACCCUGUCUUGAAAACAAAACGAAAUGAAACAAACAAAAGCCUACUAAACAAACAAACAAACAAACAUCUCUCAAGUAAUAGCUUGGUUUGUGAAGCAGAGCAUUGUCCUGCCUAUCACUAACAGGAGAAAUGAUUGCCGAUUAAAACUGUGAUGAGUGAUUGGUUGUCAGGUUUAUCCAGAUCUAGGAGAUGUUAAGAAGUAAUGAGUGGUUUGGUUUCAUUGUGUAGAAUAAGUGAGUCAGUUUACUGCUCAGAAAUAGACACUCAUGUAACACUCUUUUCUUUGUGACAUCUUGUUUCCUCUCGCAUCAGAUAGUAGGUGAGACUUAGUUUCUUUCUUGGGUAUCCUAAAAGUGUUCAAGGAUAAGUGUGCACCCAGUAGCUGUACCUCAUUGCCAGGUCAUUUGAGGACAGAGGUCCGACUUGGUAACUUUGCCAAAUGUGAAAGAGUUGAGUGUAUUUGGGAACGUUUUCUGGAGCACCUUCUUGACUGAUUAAAAGGAUACCUCAAUGUGCUCCAAAUAGAAGGGAAGGAAGGCAUUAGUUGUGCCAGUAAGUGCUGUGGCUGGUAGAGUUUGAACACUUGUGUGUUGGGUAUGGCCUAAGCCAGCUUAUUUGGAAUCGUUUGUGGGUUAAGAUGUGGAACACCAGAUGUGCACAUUAGCUAGUUUUCUGGAACACUCACCUAUGCACCAAUGUCUCUCUCUGCUGAGGUCUUUCUGGUCCAAGACCCAGCCUCCAUCCAGAAGGUCUGCUGUGUUAAUAGAGGUGUUUCCAGAAGAGGAAUGUCUAGGUGAUUUGGUUCCUUAAAUUCAUCCUUAGCAACCCUCACCCCACAGAACUGAACGUCUUUCAUCCUAGACUGCAAGACUGAAGGCCUAGAAGAGAUUUAGCUUUCUGUUGCUGGAGGCAUGCUGUUAAAACUCUGAGGGAUCUAAGAUCUAAACUAGGAUAUUUUUGUAUUAGUAGUAUUAGUAUUAAGGUUACAAGUGACUAAUGUUUAAAAACCUCUUAGUUGGCAGACCUUGGAAUUCUCUCACACCUGCAAUAUUUCCAAGCCACUGCAGUGGCCAUGUUGUCUCACAAGUUAGUGCUGCUACUGUUUUCUCCUCCUUCUCUUCCUCCUCUUCUUUCUCCUCUUCCUCCUCCUCUUCCUCCUCUUCCUCCUCCUUCUCUUCUUCCUCUUCAUCUUCCUCCUCUUUCUUUUCCUCUUAUUCUUCCUCCUCCUCUUCCUCUUCUCCUUUUUCUUGUUACAAAUUAUUUAGGCUUUUAGGUUAAAAUAAGAUGAUAGGAAUCCCACCUCCACCCUGUUCUUAAAUUUUAGCUGAUGGCACAUAAUGUGUUGAGGUCCCAAGUUUUGCAGUGUUGAUUUGAGUUAAAAGAGAUAAAAAGACAAACAGCCCUAGGUGCUACAGGGCUCUAUUGAAGGGCAACUAAGAGACUGCUAAGCUGCCCUCGACCCCUCACACACAUUUAAUGGCUUAGGAGAGCAAGGGACAAUCUUGUUGAUGUGGGGAGGAUAUGGAAAUGAGGAUGAUUUUGACGAGAAUAUGUAAGAACUUUACAAGCAUCACUGAGAUUAAAAUGAAGUUUGAAAAGAAACCUAAAGUUUGCUAGAGUCUUUAAAACUAUCAACCAGGAGGUACUAUAAAUCACAUCUUUCUGAAUAAUUAAUAAGAGCAGGUAUUAUUUUGAUCUUAGAAUUAGGAUAUUUUGAUGUCAGAAAGUUGAUCUUACAAUCCAGUUAGUUCUGCUGUUUGGUUUGGCAAAUGAGGAAACAAAGCCAGAAAAUUUCCCAGGUGGUGUCCACGGAGUCCCGGAAACCAGGUCUGCUGGUGCGUGCAGUGUCUUUUCACGUGCGCGCCUUGGGAAGCUUGGACUUCCAUAUGAGGAGCAGGACCUUUGGACUCUCAGGGAUCCGUGGAGGAAGCGUCUCCCCUGCUCGGAGCUGCUGCUUGCCUCUCUCCCGCCCUUGCCAAGUUCCACAGGCUUAUUUGCAGACUCAGGGAAGCUCUUGGAAGUGUGUGGAAAAGGACACUCCACAGUGAUCGUUCCCUUUCUAGUCUCUGUUGCUGUUUGCAUCUAGGAACUCAACCUUUAUCUCAGAAAUGGAAGCCUGAAUCCAAAUGCGUUGCUGGAGCCCUGAGAAAGUGACUUGAUUUUUCUGGCCUCAAAGUUGCUUCAUAGAAACACUGAAGUUUAAAAUGAUUAGUGUAGGAAUAAUUUAGAGUUUGCCACAGGACAGGUAUUUUGUUGUGUUUGACCAAUUUAUUAAGUUUUUACUUAAUAAUAUUUCUAAAAUCUGAAUAUCUUCUCCUUGGUGAUACAUUAUAAAACAUUGUACACAUAAUUUUUACACUUAGUGCUUAAAAAACAAGAGUGCUUUACAUUUUACAAAACAUGGUGCUUGUGAUCAAUUGAGCCAAUAGUAUUGAAUGCAUCAUUAGUAUAAGUGAAUAUAUAGUUUUAUGUUUGAAUAGCUGAUUGGUAUUUAGGGUAAGGAGCUGCUGAGAUACUCCCAUGUAUUGUAGGUCUACUAUGUAACAGUUCCUUUUACAAUUAAAAUAUUCCACCUUGUAGGACGAAGCUCCUUAAGCAGGAAAGUAAACAUCUCUGAGUAGUUUCAGGAAGUCCCUAAAACUGAUCAGAUUUACUCUUAGAGUAGGCCAUAAAAGCUGAGCCUUCCCCUCAGACGGAAGGGAGCCAAGCUGCAAAGAAGACUCUCAUACCUGGCAGAAGCAGAAACAAGCCAAGCUGCUUGGAAGUAAUUUAGACCAACUGAGGCACCAGCAGAGGCCAUUCUCCAGCCUGUUAAGCUGCUGCAGGUUGUGCAAAGUGUUCCAGGUUCCCAGCUUUGUGAGAUGUCAUCCAUGCUGGGUGGCCUGUGGUUCUGCAGCUGUCUCCAGUCAGUAACCCCUCACCCAUAUUCCUGUAAGUAACCCCAGUAAAACUCAGUGGUUCACCAAGUUGGACUUUGUUAGUGUUUGUACUUUGGUCUGUCCUGGACUCCCUAUGUGUGUUGCAUCUCCCCAGGAAAAGUUUUGUCACACAACAAGGUCUCUUCAUUUGGGGACCACAAUAGCCUUUGUUUUGCAUAUGUAUAAUUCAUGGUUAAUGCUAUAUUAGAGCAGGUUUGAGUGUUCCCCAAGAGUUCCCAUGCUAGGAGGGAACUCUGAGUUCCCAGUGAGGUGGUGAACUGUGAGAUCCCUGUGCCUAGAAGAGGUUACUGGUAGCCUGCCCAACUUACCCCUCCUGAGGUGAGUUACCAAGCAUGGCUGCCCCAUGAACUUGACCAGCGCCUUGGCAUCCUGUUCGCUUGUUGGUUUUCUGCCAUGUUAUAGACAGGCAGAGGGGUCCUCACCACAGGCUGGACAGAUAAGGCUGCCCUAAAGUGUGAGUUGAACAAACUGGUUUUCUUUUAAAUUAGUUACUUUGUUAAAAGUCAGUUACUUUGUGAAGUUGGCUGCAGGUGGGCCAGUAGGGUGGUGAGUUUACAUUUGUGAAUUCAUGAACACAUGCACACCAGUAAAAGAGGAACAGGAACACAGUUCUCAGGGUUGAGUGAGAAGUGUUUUCAUGACUUGAGUCAGGCUAACAGUCUCACCUGGGAGGUGCUCUUUGGCUCUGUAUUUCCGCAUUAACAGCACAGCCAUCUUAGAAGUGGUAUAGUUGUUACCUAGAGGAGAUAGGACUGCCUGACAAACCUGUGUGCUCUGUGGAAAACAUCUUUCUCAGUACCUAGGCCCUUUCCUUGAGCAUCUUAUGUCCGUUUGUCCUUCUAUGGUUCUGUGAUUCCUUGGUAACAUGGUUGUGUUACAGACCAGGAGGCUUCUGUGGGUACUCUUGUCAGGUACUCACUCAUGAGCCUGUCAUAGAGGCCACUGAUUUCCCACAGUUGUUUGCUCUGCUCAGUCUGCAGCAGUGAUAACGAUAGUAAGGUAGUAAUUGGUGAUAUCCCACAUACCGUAUCCUCUCACAUCAGCCAGCGAGGUGCAUAAUAUUAUCUGUAUUCUCACAGUGAGAUUAUCUCAGACAAAUAUUCCUGUGUGAAAAGAUUCCCAAUUUAUUUGUGAUUGCUGCACAGUAUGUGUCUGCAGAGGUUAGACUAUUUGUGUAUAGAAGGUGUGUGAGGACAGACCAAUGAGAUGGCUCAGUGGGGAAAAACACUUCCCACGCAAGUCAGAUGGCCUGAAUCCCAGCCACAAAACACACAUAAAGGUGUGAGGAGAGAACCGACUCUACAAACUGAUCUCUGACCUCCCAUGCUGGCGAUGAACCAACCUACCUGCCUUCUUUCCUCCCUCUCUCCCUCCCUUCAUUCUUUCCUUCCUGUCUCUCUUUCUUUCUUUCUUUCUGCACAUGGAAAGCGUAUCUGGCUGGACUUACUUGAUUUUAACGUGUGAACUUUAUACUUUCUCUUUGAGGGCAAUGGUUUUCAACCUUCCUAUUGCUGUGACCCUUUAACAUAGUUCCUCAUGUCGUGGUGACCCCCAACCAUAAAAUUAUUUUCAUUACUACUUCAUAACUGUAUUUUGCUACUUUUAUGAAUUGUAAUGUAAAUAUUUGUGAUUACCAGUGGUCUUAGGCUGCCCUUGUAAAGGGGUCACUUGCCCCUUCCUCCCCCCAAAAGAGGUUGUGACUCACAGGUUGAGAACCACUGUUUUAGGGGGAGAUUUUCCUUUGUGCUAAUGAAGGAUUUCAGGAAUAUAGCAGGCGCUUUGAUGCCAAUGCCACACCUUUCCUGUGAGCAGCUGUUAACCUGUUUACAGAUGGGAAGACUAAGGCUCAGGAGAUCAAAUAUGAGGCCUUGAUUGCAGUGUUGGAGACCAGCAGGACGUAAACACCAGCACAGACCUGUCUGGUUUCUGAGAGUGAUCU